GAUGAACGUUGGCGGUGUGCCUAAUACAUGCAAGUCGAACGGAGCUAAUAGCAAUAUUGGCUUAGUGGCGAACGGGUGAGUAACGCGUUGGUGAUCUGCCUUGAAGUGUGGAAUAACGUUUCGAAAGGAACGCUAAUACCGCAUGUGCUCUCGAUUUUCAGAAAGUUGAGAGUAAAGGAUUUAUUCGCUUCAAGAGGAGCCUGCGUCCCAUCAGCUGGUUGGUAGGGUAACGGCCUACCAAGGCUAUGACGGGUAGGGGACCUGAGAGGGUGGCCCCCCA
rnacentral:rRNA from 1 species